UACAGAGGUCCCAAGCGUUGUUCGGAUUCACUGGGCGUAAAGGGUGAGUAGGCGGCCGGGUAAGUCUGAUGUGAAAUCUCACAGCUUAACUGUGAAACUGCAUUGGAUACUAUCCGGCUAGAGGAAUGGAGGGGAGACUGGAAUUCUCGGUGUAGCAGUGAAAUGCGUAGAUAUCGAGAGGAACACCAGUGGCGAAGGCGAGUCUCUGGACAUUUCCUGACGCUGAGGCACGAAAGCCAGGGGAGCAAACGGG
rnacentral:rRNA from 1 species